rnacentral:rRNA from 1 species
UGAACGCUGGCGGCGUGCCUAAUACAUGCAAGUCGAGCGAACGGACGAGAAGCUUGCUUCUCUGAUGUUAGCGGCGGACGGGUGAGUAACACGUGGAUAACCUACCUAUAAGACUGGGAUAACUUCGGGAAACCGGAGCUAAUACCGGAUGAUAUUUUGAACCGCAUGGUUCAAAAGUGAAAGACGUUCUUGCUUUCACUUAUAGAUGGAUCCGCGCUGCAUUAGCUAGUUGGUAAGGUAACGGCUUACCAAGGCAACGAUGCAUAGCCGACCUGAGAGGGUGAUCGGCCACACUGGAACUGAGACACGGUCCAGACUCCUACGGGAGGCAGCAGUAGGGAAUCUUCCGCAAUGGGCGAAAGCCUGACGGAGCAACGCCGCGUGAGUGAUGAAGGUCUUCGGAUCGUAAAACUCUGUUAUUAGGGAAGAACAUAUGUGUAAGUAACUGUGCACAUCUUGACGGUACCUAAUCAGAAAGCCACGGCUAACUACGUG